UACGUAGGGGGCGAGCGUUGUCCGGAUUUAUUGGGCGUAAAGAGCUCGUAGGCGGUGUGUCGCGUCGGCCGUGAAAACCUGCAGCUUAACUGUGGGCUUGCGGUCGAUACGGGCAUCACUGGAGUUCGGCAGGGGAGACUGGAAUUCCUGGUGUAGCGGUGAAAUGCGCAGAUAUCAGGAGGAACACCGGUGGCGAAGGCGGGUCUCUGGGCCGAUAUUGACGUGAGGAGCGAAAGCUGGGGGAGCAAACAGG
rnacentral:rRNA from 1 species